rnacentral:rRNA from 1 species
UUUUGAUUUAAAUAUGUUGACUUGAGUAGUAUUAGUUAUGAUCUUGAAACUUAAAGAAUUUGGCGGUAUUAUAGUCUUUUUAGAGGAAUCUGUCCCAUUAUCGAUAAUCCACGUUGGACCUUACUUAAUAAAUUUUUAUAUGUAUAUCGCCGUUUAUUGAAUAUCUUUUUAGGGUUUAAUGUUCAAAAUUUUUUAUUAAAAAGUAUUUCAGGUCAAGGUGCAGUUGAUAAUUAAGUGGUGAUGGAUUACAAUUUUUAAUAAAAAUGAAUAAUUGGUUGAAAUUCUUAUUUGAAGGUGGAUUUAAUAGUAAAAUUUUAUAGAUUGAAAAUUUGAUUUUAGCUCUAUAAUGUGU